rnacentral:rRNA from 1 species
UGGGGAAUAUUGGACAAUGGGCGCAAGCCUGAUCCAGCCAUGCCGCGUGAGUGAUGAAGGCCCUAGGGUUGUAAAGCUCUUUCGCCAGGGACGAUAAUGACGGUACCUGGAUAAGAAGCCCCGGCUAACUUCGUGCCAGCAGCCGCGGUAAUACGAAGGGGGCUAGCGUUGUUCGGAAUCACUGGGCGUAAAGCGCACGUAGGCGGAUCUUUAAGUCAGGGGUGAAAUCCCGAGGCUCAACCUCGGAACUGCCUUUGAUACUGGAGGUCUCGAGUUCGGGAGAGGUGAGUGGAACUGCGAGUGUAGAGGUGAAAUUCGUAGAUAUUCGCAAGAACACCAGUGGCGAAGGCGGCUCACUGGCCCGAUACUGACGCUGAGGUGCGAAAGCGUGGGGAGCAAAACAGGAUUAGAUACCCUGGUAGUCCACGCCGUAAACGAUGGAUGCUAGCCGUUGGGGAGCUUGCUCUUCAGUGGCGCAGCUAACGCUUUAAGCAUCCGCCUGGGGAGUACGGUCGCAAGAUUAAAACUCAAAGGAAUUGACGGGGUCAUAGCUGUUUCCUG